AUAUAAACACUCUGAGUAUCUAAAUCUAAAGGUAUAAUACAUAAAAGCACUGAGUAUCUAAAUCUAAAGGUAU